GCUGGUUUCCCAGCUCUGCUAAGCCGGCUAGUCCCUCCCAGAGCUGGAGGUGGACGUGGGGCAGCACCUGCGCCCCAGCCGAUAUUUCAGAAGAGUAGUGUCAUUCAACGUUUGCCGUUUUUGUCUGGCUGAUGGCACUUAGGAUGUCUCCAAGGUUCAUCCACGGUGUAGCAGGUGUCAGAGCGUCACGCUUUCCCGCAGCUGGCAAUCCACCGUCUAAUAAACCACAUUUUCUCCGGU